rnacentral:rRNA from 1 species
CCAGCAGCCGCGGUAAUUCCAGCUCCAAUAGCGUAUAUUAAAGUUGUUGCAGUUAAAAAGCUCGUAGUUGGAUUUCUGCCCGGGCCGACCGGCCCGCCCACUGGGUGAGCGCCUGGUUGCGCCCGGGCAUCCUCCUGGAGAUCGUCGCUGUCAUUGAUUUGCCGGCGGCGAGAUCCAGGACUUUUACUUUGAAAAAAUUAGAGUGUUCAAAGCAGGCUAACGCUUGAAUACAUUAGCAUGGAAUAAUAAGAUAGGACUUUGGUCUUAUUUUGUUGGUUUCUAGGACCGAAGUAAUGAUUAAUAGGGAUAGUUGGGGGCAUUCGUAUUUAAUUGUCAGAGGUGAAAUUCUUGGAUUUAUUAAAGACGAACUUCUGCGAAAGCAUUUGCC